rnacentral:rRNA from 1 species
GCUUAUGCGUUGUUGGGUAGGGGAGCGUUCUGUAAGCCUGCGAAGGUGUGCUGUGAGGCAUGCUGGAGGUAUCAGAAGUGCGAAUGCUGACAUAAGUAACGAUAAAGCGGGUGAAAAGCCCGCUCGCCGGAAGACCAAGGGUUCCUGUCCAACGUUAAUCGGGGCAGGGUGAGUCGACCCCUAAGGCGAGGCCGAAAGGCGUAGUCGAUGGGAAACAGGUUAAUAUUCCUGUACUUGGUGUUACUGCGAAGGGGGGACGGAGAAGGCUAUGUUGGCCGGGCGACGGUUGUCCCGGUUUAAGCGUGUAGGCUGGUUUUCCAGGCAAAUCCGGAAAAUCAAGGCUGAGGCGUGAUGACGAGGCACUACGGUGCUGAAGCAACAAAUGCCCUGCUUCCAGGAAAAGCCUCUAAGCAUCAGGUAACAUCAAAUCGUACCCCAAACCGACACAGGUGGUCAGGUAGAGAAUACCAAGGCGCUUGAGAGAACUCGGGUGAAGGAACUAGGCAAAAUGGUGCCGUAACUUCGGGAGAAGGCACGCUGAUAUGUAGGUGAAGUCCCUUGCGGAUGGAGCUGAAAUCAGUCGAAGAUACCAGCUGGCUGCAACUGUUUAUUAAAAACACAGCACUGUGCAAACACGAAAGUGGACGUAUACGGUGUGACGCCUGCCCGGUGCCGGAAGGUUAAUUGAUGGGGUCAGCGCAAGCGAAGCUCUUGAUCGAAGCCCCGGUAAACGGCGGCCGUAACUAUAACGGUCCUAAGGUAGCGAAAUUCCUUGUCGGGUAAGUUCCGACCUGCACGAAUGGCGUAAUGAUGGCCAGGCUGUCUCCACCCGAGACUCAGUGAAAUUGAACUCGCUGUGAAGAUGCAGUGUACCCGCGGCAAGACGGAAAGACCCCGUGAACCUUUACUAUAGCUUGACACUGAACAUUGAGCCUUGAUGUGUAGGAUAGGUGGGAGGCUUUGAAGUGUGGACGCCAGUCUGCAUGGAGCCGGCCUUGAAAUACCACCCUUUAAUGUUUGAUGUUCUAACGUGGACCCGUGAUCCGGGUUGCGGACAGUGUCUGGUGGGUAGUUUGACUGGGGCGGUCUCCUCCUAAAGAGUAACGGAGGAGCACGAAGGUUGGCUAAUCCUGGUCGGACAUCAGGAGGUUAGUGCAAUGGCAUAAGCCAGCUUGACUGCGAGCGUGACGGCGCGAGCAGGUGCGAAAGCAGGUCAUAGUGAUCCGGUGGUUCUGAAUGGAAGGGCCAUCGCUCAACGGAUAAAAGGUACUCCGGGGAUAACAGGCUGAUACCGCCCAAGAGUUCAUAUCGACGGCGGUGUUUGGCACCUCGAUGUCGGCUCAUCACAUCCUGGGGCUGAAGUAGGUCCCAAGGGUAUGGCUGUUCGCCAUUUAAAGUGGUACGCGAGCUGGGUUUAGAACGUCGUGAGACAGUUCGGUCCCUAUCUGCCGUGGGCGCUGGAGAACUGAGGGGGGCUGCUCCUAGUACGAGAG